AUUGAACGCUGGCGGCAUGCUUUACACAUGCAAGUCGAACGGUAACAGGCCUUCGGGUGCUGACGAGUGGCGAACGGGUGAGUAAUGCAUCGGAACGUACCCAGAGGUGGGGGAUAACGCAGCGAAAGCUGUGCUAAUACCGCAUGUGAUCUGAGGAUGAAAGCGGGGGACCGAGCAGCAAUUUUUGGCCUCGCGCCUUUGGAGCGGCCGAUGUCGGAUUAGCUAGUUGGUGGGGUAAAGGCCUACCAAGGCGACGAUCCGUAGCUGGUCUGAGAGGACGACCAGCCACACUGGGACUGAGACACGGCCCAGACUCCUACGGGAGGCAGCAGUGGGGAAUUUUGGACAAUGGGCGCAAGCCUGAUCCAGCAAUGCCGCGUGCGGGAAGAAGGCCUUCGGGUUGUAAAACGCUUUUGGCAGGAACGAAACGGUGUCCGCUAAUACCGGGCGCUAAUGACGGUACCUGCAGAAUAAGCACCGGCUAACUACGUG
rnacentral:rRNA from 1 species